rnacentral:ncRNA from 10 species
AUCGUUCAUCUCGCUUAUUGAGACGGAAGUAAGUUUUAACUGAAGGAACGCAGA